AUACAUUUUCAGGUUCUCUCUCCACCACCACCACCCCACUUAUUGCUUUUCGAUUUGAAUAAGGAGGAAAAUGAAGGGAAAGGGGAGUUGUAGGAGAACAAGGAUAGGAGAUGGAGGGACAGAGGAGCUCCUGCCUAUGGCUAGCAUGUGACCAAUGAAGCUGGGGCUCCAGGAAGAGAGGAAUUAUCAGAAGGCAGGAUCUAAGUCACUUGCAGGCACACACAGGUAAGCAAAAAUGUUGCUGCUGUUACUAAUGUGCUGCUACA
rnacentral:lncRNA from 1 species